AGCGAACGCUGGCGGCAGGCCUAACACAUGCAAGUCGAACGAACCUUUCGGGGUUAGUGGCGGAGGGGUGAGUACCACGUGGGAAGGUGCCUUUAGGUUCGGAAUAAUUCAGGGAAACUUGUGCUAAUACCGAAUGUGCCCUUAGGGGGAAAGAUUAGUCGCCUUUAGAGCGGCCUGCGUAUGAUUAGCUAGUUGGUUGAGGUAAUGGCUCACCUCGGCGACGAUCAGUAGCUGGUCUGAGAGGAUGAUAAGCCGGAUUGGGACUGAGACACGGCCCAAACUCCUACGGGAGGCAGCGGAAUAGUAUCUUGCGCAAUGAACGAAAGCCUGACGCAGCCAUGCCGGGGGAAUGAUGCAGGUCUUAGGAUUGUAAAAUUCUUUCUCCGGGGACGAUAAUGACGGUACCCGGAGAAGAAGCCCCGGCUAACUACGUG
rnacentral:rRNA from 1 species